ACUUUUUACACAAUAAAUAACUAUAUAGUAUGAUCUUUUAAUUAUUUAUUGACUGUGGAUUUAUUCUAAUUUAAAUAUGUUCUUUUUUUAUUUAAAGUCAUACUUUGUUAAAUAUGUAAAUAUUCUAAACUGCAGCACUAGUUUACAUUAUUUGUGUUCCAGUCAGAACACAACAUGCAUCUAACAGAAACCAGUAGUUUUCUCUGGAAGAAUAGACAGGCAAAAACAGAAAAGCAAGCGCUAUACAAACGUCAUCACUAUGAAGGGCUGCAUAGUUUUAGGUAUCUAUUAUUAAAAUUGGGGAUUCCUGCGGGGGAUAGAAGAAAAAUACAGAAGUUAAAUGUGUGUCAUUAGCAUCAAUUUGUGUCUGUGUUUAUGUGGCAUUUUCUCAGCUGUGAUCUUGAGUAAGGAAAAAAAUUGGCUGCUGUUGCAGAGGCUUUUACAGUUGUGAGAUUAUUCUCCUUCCUCAUCAUUCUCAACUUCUGCCUUGAUGUUGAAAAUAUUUCUCAACAUUCUCCCUUUCAUAAGUGUUCAGUGAAAAAGUGGCCAAUACUAAAAUAAACCAUGAAGAGUGCAGAUGGGAGGGAUGAACUGUAGAAUUCACAGAUUGGGUUUAACUGAUAGACAGGGGAGUCUUCAGCUAUUGUGAAUAUUGCUUUCAGACAUGCAGUUCAUCUGCAACAAAACUGUUGAUCUUGAGGCACAUGUGUGUUUUUACUGAUGCAUGGUUGGGGGCAUGGGUGACAUUUGAGACUUAUGCGGGGGGCAAUCCAUCUCAGUCAACUAUAUACUGGGGCCUAUAUCACUAAAAAAAGUGCCUGCAUGAGAGCCUGGCAGCUGCUAAUGGAUGGAACCCACCCUGAAUGGUUAACCGAAAGCAAACAGUCCUGAUCCUGAAGGACCCCAGAAAGGGGCAGUUCCAUCCUCCUACCGGCCAAUAACCUGCCUCUGCACAACAUGGAAGCUCCUGUAGGACAUUGUGGCUAAGAUGAAUAUUCACAUGGUUACAUACAUGAGUGGGACCAGGAAAAGACAUUGGCAAGAACACCAGAGGGGCCAAGUGAGGAGUGAUUAAACAGUCACUCGAGACUGUAAGACCAGACAGACCAACCUGUGCAUCACCUGGAUUGACUACACGAAAGUUUAUAAUUCAGUGCCCCACACAUGGAUCCUGGAAUGGUCGAGGCUGUGUCACAUCAACAGGACUCUAAGAGCCUUCAUCAAGAACUUGGUGGUGGGGCUGUGGAAGAUGAAAUUAGAGGCCAAGUUCAAGCCAAUAGCAUGAGUCAUCAUCAGGUGUGGCAUUUACCAAGGAGAUGUCUCCGCUGCUGUUCUGCAUAGGCCUGUGAAAUCAUCACCAAGAGUGGCUAUGGAUACCAGCUACCAUCAGGCACCUUUUCUACAUGGAUGACAUUAUGCUGUAUGCCAGAAGUGAACUAGACAUCGACUCACUAAUCCAUAUCACCAGGGUAUACAGCUAUGCCAUUGGAAUGUCAUUCGGACUGGUCAGAUGGUUACAAGGAAAGGGAAAGUAGCUAGCACAAAAGGUAACAUAACAGAUGUUGAGUGCAGGUAUAAGCACCAGGCAAAUUAGAAUCAUGCAGAGGUCACAAAGAAAGCAGCUACAGCCAAAUAUCUACAAAGAGUGAGGCAAGUCCUGAGAAGUCAGCUGAAAGGGAGGAACAAGAUCCGGGCUAUCAACACUAAUGCUCUGCCAGUCAUCAGAUACCCUGCUGGCAUAAUAAGAUGGCCUAAGGAGGAGAUAGAAGUCACUAACAUCAAGACAAGGAAACUCCUCACAAUGCACAGAGGGUUUCAUCCCAAAUUCAGCACUCUGAUACUCUACACUAAGCGGAAGGAGUGGGGCUGUGGACUGUUGAACAUCAGAGCCACUAUCCAGGAUGAAAUAACCAAGAUCCAGGAGUACACCAGGAUGAUAGCCCCAAGUGAAGAAGUGCUUAGUGAGUACCUCAGACAGAUGAAACCCAGGGAGGAUAGAAAUAAGGAGGAGCAUCAUGGGAGUAUAAACCAUUGUAUGGUAUGUAACACCGGCAAAGAGUGGCCCAUAUUCAGCACUGCAACAUCAUUCUCUCUUGACUCAAAAUGUUUCUCAUAUAGGUUUUCAGUCAGCACAAGCAAGAAAAUGAAGCACAUGAUGCUGUGCUCAUUCUCACAGCCAGGAACAACUCGGAACAGGCACGUGAAACUUGGAGUGUCGAGAAACAAAUAUCCUGAAACAAAGGAAGCAGCACUGAUGAAAAGUACCAUCUUAAAUUUAGAUUUAAGGUGGAAUGGAACAUUUGAAUAAGAAGACAACUGCUGCAUCAUUUAAGGUGGAACCAAAGCCUGGGCAAGAAACCAACUACAGCCUCUUGCUUCUUUCUGAAUUGGUAACUGAGGAGCUAUUUGAAAAUACUCUUAUACAUAUAAAUGUCCAAAUAAAGCCCUAAUUUAUUGUUUUCUUAAAUUUUUGGUCAGGAAUUAUAAGCUUUUCAGUGUUUUUCAGUGCCUCAGAAGAUCAUGCCCAUACCUUUAUUUCUUAUGAAUAAAAUUGUGUUGGCUAACUGAACCAAAUAUCUUCCCUGUAGUUUAAUUAGUAAAUGGGUUGAAGCAUGAGACUGGAAAUUAGCAGAUGUACAUGUAAAAACUACAGGUCCCAAAAUGCAUUGCUUUCACUGCACUGAGGCUGGAUAUGGUUGUACUCUGAAAGUAAAAGGAUAGCAUAACUGGAUUUGGUUGUACUCUGAACGUAAAAAGAUAAUUAACAAUUCCGUUUGAAUAUGCAGUUGAUUAAGCUUUUGGAAGAAAGAAGAUGAAAUACGUAGACUUGGUGGCUGAGGUGAGAGAACGCUGGUGGCAAGUGCAUAUAAGACUGGUAGUGAUAGGUGCUAGAGGAUUUUUAUCUAGGUUUGCCACAUCUUGUCAAACUUACUUUUAGAAACUAAACUACAGUAAGGGGAGCUGUGAAGGAAGUAUCAGAAGCAGCUGAAAGGGCUAGUCAAUGGUUGUGGAUGAGGAGAGCAUUAUAGUUGGGGAAAUGCAUUAUAAAAAUGGAAUGGCUGAGGUGUUUCUUGUUUCAGGUACAUGGAAGACUAGACAUGUGAACGGAUUGUUGUCAUGUCAUUAUCAUUUCUAAUAUGGUAGAUCCAGAUGGAACUGGUAUCAUGCAUUAACGGUGCCAGUGAGGCUGUGUAUAGCCAGUAUGGAUUUGUUGUGUUGGGAAAUGCUUGGUGGCGUAGUAAGUUCCAUAUGGAACUGGCAGCAGUAAGCAUGCAUUAGCAGUGCCAGUGGGAUAUGGCGUUAGCCGUUGGGGGGGCAGUAUGUUUAGGAAGUAGGUAAAUAUAGGGAGGUAACUCUGUUUGCUGUUGGUAUAGUAGAUUUUAGUGCAUAAAGCCCAUAUGGAUGUGGAGGCACGGAGCAUGCAUUAAUGGUGUUAGUGUGACUGCUUAUGGUCUUAGUCACCAGAGAGGCCAAUCUGGGUUGAUGUCUAAAGAGGUUUAAAUGUGAAAUUUACGGGGAUUGGGCUCGGCUGCCAGGCCUCACUGCCAGAGCUCACUUCUUGAGGUGUUGUGGGUUUAAUUCAGCAAGACACAUAUGAAGAGAAGUGUCUACCUGAUGACCCCUGUGAAGAACUUGCAAUAUUGUAGUAUGAAACGAGUGGGCUGGGCCCAAUAUGAAAUUUGAAUGGUUUGGUAUAGGAUAUUUGACAUCUUAUCCUGUGCAUAAUUAUAAUGUCAUGUACACCAGAAUGUUUAAUUUUCACAUUAAAAUGACAAAAAUUUCAUUGGUGAAAAUGCUUUCAGGCUUUCAUG